UUUUUUUUUUUUUUUUUCUGUUGCUGGAAUAAGAGAUGGAACCACAGAAUAUCUGACACUAAAAUUAGUUUUGAAGGAAGUACAGGUGUUUAAUAGAAUGAGUAGGAAAGAUUCAUGGCAGGGGAAUCAUGUAUGCAAAAACAGAGGAAUGCAGGCAUGCAUUACAUGUUUUGGUAAUGGCAAGUUCCUCAGUUUGGCGAAAGUUAGGCAAAGCAGUCUACAGCCAAGUUGAAGGAGCCUUACUCCCCAAGUAAAGGGAUUUUGACUUAAAUAGCAAUAGAACCUAUUUAUUCUAGGACAUACAUACAGAAUUAAGAUUUUUAAACAGGGGAAUAGAAAGAGUAUAGCUCAUUCAGAAUGAUCACUUUGGAGGUAAUGCAGAGAUUGUGUUAAAGACAAGAAAAUGGGGGGGCAGGAAGUUCAAGCUAAGAGGUUAUUACAUUGGUUCAGCUGAGAGGAGUGUUUCAGAAACACACAAUAACAGUGUUAGGCAAAAUAAAAAUACUCUCAAAUCCAGGCAGAUGACCAGUUAAGCAUUACCUAAAAUAUGUCCACCGGGAUUCCAAGCAUACUUUAUAGUUAUUUCCAGCCAAAUGUGUAAGUACUGGCAAUUCUGAAAAUACUUUUCCGAAACACACUACUUACAAAGCUACUGCUGAGCCUGACAACCAAUCCUCUUUAAGGAUCUAACAGGAAGAGAGAAUAAACAAAACAUAUGUCUCCCCAAUUUAACAGUUGCCAACAAUGUAAAUGAGCACAUGUGCCUUUUCAAUGUUCAACAAAUUCCUCAAGCCACAGAACGUAGAACUGCCACAAAGGAAACUAUCAGGCUACAAAGAAUGAUUUCAGUGAGAGACUUUUUUUCUUUGGCAAGUAGCAUAGUGAAAUGCAAACAUUAGAACCCCAUAGUCCACAGACUGACUCUGAUCAGCACCCAAGUUCUGUUUGAUGUAGAUAAUAUUGGCCCAAAGAGCACUGUUUAACAGAUUUUCCAACAAUGUUCAGAUGUCCUGGACAUUAUUCCCAUAUGGCCAUAUUCUACAAGAGCUCUAGAACUGCUAUCCCCUAUAGAGAGGUCAUAAGCUUUCCAGGUUACCACCGCCUACAUCAUCUUUUGUUAUCUUGUUAAAACUAAAAGCAGGUCUCUGUUGGCAUUUCUUACUGAUACAAGGGGAAAAAAGCAUACAUUCUUAGCCAAAACAAAGUACUGUAUCCUUCUGGCUGUUCAAACAGAACAACAAACAGAUUUAGCGGGCAAGAGCACAUUAAACACUGGAAAUAUUCCUCACUUCCUACAACGUCCUAUGCUCACUCUCAUUGUU
rnacentral:lncRNA from 1 species